UACGAAGGGGGCUAGCGUUGUUCGGAUUUACUGGGCGUAAAGCGCACGUAGGCGGAUCGAUCAGUCAGGGGUGAAAUCCCAGAGCUCAACUCUGGAACUGCCUUUGGUACUGUCGAUCUGGAGUAUGGAAGAGGUGAGUGGAAUUCCGAGUGUAGAGGUGAAAUUCGUAGAUAUUCGGAGGAACACCAGUGGCGAAGGCGGCUCACUGGUCCAUUACUGACGCUGAGGUGCGAAAGCGUGGGGAGCAAACAGG
rnacentral:rRNA from 1 species